CGUGAUCACUGUAACGCCCUGAGUGUUGCGGAUGUUUCGCAGAAGUUGACCGAACUUGAUUAUUUAGAGGAAGUAAAAGUCGUAACAAGGUUUCCGUAGGUGAACCUGCNGAANGAUCANUAAAGUUCUCCUUUCAAGUUAUAAACAAAAACACAAUAUAUAAAAUACUUAUAUUGUAAAAUUAUGGCAAAUGCCAAAAAGAAACAAAAUAACAAUAAUAAAAAUGUUUAUUAUUGUAUCGCCUCCUAGGCAAAAAAGUAUANUAUAAAGUGUUUGUGUGUGUUACACAUUACACAAAAAUUGACUUAUUUAUAUAAAAUUUGUAAAAACUGAAAUUGUGUGGACGUUAUACAAAAUUAAUUUGUAUAGAAAANGUCUAAAAAUUUGAAAUACAUAAAAUUAUAGUUGUACUUGUAUAAAAUUGAAAAGUAAUUUUUUAUAUAAGUCAAUCAUUGUUCGUUUUUUAAGAACUUGAGACAUUCGCAACAAAAAUUUUAUGUUUUAGUUAUAAAAGAGAAGAAUAAUAAGCAAAAAUUAUUGAAGGAAUUGAUAUAUGCCAAUUUG
rnacentral:rRNA from 1 species